GUGCUCACUUUGGCAGCACAUAUACUAAAAUUGGAACGAUACAGAGAAGAUUAUCAUGGCCCCUGCAUAAAGUUGACAUGCAAAUUCUUGACGCAUUCCUUAUUUUA
rnacentral:snRNA from 1 species